rnacentral:rRNA from 1 species
GGGGSCSGGUAAGCGUUGUUCGGAAUUACUGGGCGUAAAGGGCUCGUAGGCGGCCAACUAAGUCGGACGUGAAAUCCCUCAGCUUAACUGGGGAACUGCGUCCGAUACUGGAUGGCUUGGAUUUGGGAGAGGGAUGCGGAAUUCCAGGUGUAGCGGUGAAAUGCGUAGAUAUCUGGAGGAACACCGGUGGCGAAGGCGGCAUCCUGGACCAAUAUUGACGCUGAGGAGCGAAAGCCAGGGGAGCAAACGGGAUUAGAUACCCCGGUAGUCCUGGCCCUAAACGAUGAAUGCUUGGUGUGGCGGGUAUCGAUCCCUGCCGUGCCGAAGCUAACGCAUUAAGCAUUCCGCCUGGGGAGUACGGUCGCAAGGCUG